AAGUCGUAACAAGGUUUCCGUAGGUGAACCUGCGGAAGGAUCAUUAGCGAAGUUCGGAAUGCAUGUUCGGUGUUGAUGCUGCCCAGCAAUGGGAUGUGCUCACUCGGAUGUGUGUCCCUUCUCUAUCCACCCCACUGUGAACCAAGUGUGUGAGCCGAAGAGAAAUCGGAAGCUCGCAUGCAAACCUUUAACAUACCCCAAUUAAGUAUCAGAAUGUACCUUGCGUUAACUCGCACAAAUAUAACUUUCAACAACGGAUCUCUUGGCUCUC
rnacentral:misc_RNA from 1 species